UUUGAAGGAUCAACAAGACGAACGGAUUAGAUGGAAAUGCAAUAUCAAAGGGAAAUUGAGAAGGCUCAAAGAAAGAAAAAAAGAACACCACGCGACAGGGUUAGGAAGUAGAUUUCCUGGUUUUCCCAGCACUAAAGGAGCAGAACUCCGCCAGAAUUGGCUCGAUGGAGCCAAAGGAGCCGUGGAUGGCCGAGGUACCGAUGGGGAGGUCACAGAAUGAGGGGAGGAAGAGGAAUUGCAUCCGCUCUGAGGCCUGAUGAAGAGGACAGAGGUGCAAGAGAGGGGAAUACAUGGAGGAGCUGCUGCUGAUGGAGAUGGCUGCCAGAGGACUGGUUUAAAUGUCCAGCAAGCUCUUUAUCUCUCUUCUGGUCAGGAUGGACGUACUGAUGGUACUUCAGCUUUUUCACCUACGACAUAAUAAAUUGUAACAGACCCAGCAAAACUGUUCCUGCUGCAUUUAAAUAGACUAUAGACAUCUAUAGAUUUCAUGAUUUCACAAUAUUAACAUGGAAUAGUUAGUAUUCCAGGUUCAUUAUUGUAGGAACACAUGGAAAAAAUGCCAGUAAAGAAGAAAUAAACCUUUGGCUUCUUGUUUUUGGCUUUCAGCUGAAAAAGAGACCACGAGCUCACAGCAGCCCCUGAUUAUUUUGUGGUUUAUCACACAUUUAUUGUGCCUACUUGUGUCUGUGAAGCACCUGCCAUGUGAAUAGACUGUGCUUCCGUCCCAUUAGUCAAUUUUAAAAAGGGGCGGGACCAAAGAGUGGAGGCGCCUGAAGAUCGCAUUAGCUGCCCGUGUUGUGCUAUUCACUAUAAUUCCUUAAAUAUUAAUCAUACGCUCAUGAAAAUCAGUGUUCUGAUAUCCUAACCCCCCCUCCCUGACUUUCUGUGUCCUACCAUUGCUGGAGUUGUGCCACUGCGUCCAGCCAGGACCUGUGGCAGAGAAGGCAGAGGCAGGAGAGCCGGAGGAGACUCUGCGUUCCCUGAGGGUCCAGGAGACAGGCUGCAGCUGCUAUCGUCAUCACAUGACUCAUCCGAAACCUUGGGAAGCUGCAUCUCUGUGGUGUGUGCGGGGACGGGGGGGGGUCAAGGCAGCGGUGGGAGGGAAAGGAAAGGGAUUGGCAGAAGACAAACAUGAGCGCUUUGGUCCAAUAAAGGGCAUCUACCAGCAUGUGUGAACCGACAGCCAAGCACGCGUCGCGCCUUCAUUUGGGAGAUUCUCUGCGCUCCAAACGUCGGUGAUCUGACACACACUCCUGAAGGCAGCCAAAGUUGAAUUCUCCAACGCCUUCUUCAGAUUCAUCAAAUUUAACAUUCAACAUGUAAAAUGUGACGGCUGAGGAACCAAAGCCCCCGUCCUCGCCGCCUGCUCAAAAAUCCUCUUUGAGGCAAAAGCAGCCUUUAUGUUUCCUCUCUAGGCUGAGUGGGAUGUUGGAGCAGCGUCCAGGCGAUAGCUUUCAUUCCUCUAGGUUCACUUCCAGUGCAGCCAGUUAAGUCUAAAUAAAGAAGGUGUGCCUGGGGGAGUUUGGGCUGCAAAGCUGCUAAAAUGCACCUUACACCAACGACCAAAAUCAAUUAAAGGAGAAGAUUUUAAUCAUGGAUUGGAGCCCCCCCCCCCACCCCCCACCCCACAGCCUACUGAAUAUAAAUACAACCUCUGCUCCUCAAACUUUGC
rnacentral:lncRNA from 1 species